CUGGCACACUAUAUAUGUAUAGACUAAUAUGGUUGCGACACCCUGUUCCCCACUUUGGGUCUGUUCCCCACUUUUGGUUCGUGUCCGCGGGGGCCCCGGGGCUUUCCCCCUGCCGUCUCCCCAUGAUGAGGGGGGCCUCGCGGCGGGAGUCAGCUGGUGGUUGCCCUCGGUGCUGGCCUGCUCCUCCCCCCGGGUGGGGGGGCCU